AUGAACGCUGGCGGCGUGCCUAAUACAUGCCAGUCGAGCGAACAGACGAGGAGCUUGCUCCUCUGACGUUAGCGGCGGACGGGUGAGUAACACGUGGAUAACCUACCUAUAAGACUGGGAUAACUUCGGGAAACCGGAGCUAAUACCGGAUAAUAUAUUGAACCGCAUGGUUCAAUAGUGAAAGACGGUUUUGCUGUCACUUAUAGAUGGAUCCGCGCCGCAUUAGCUAGUUGGUAAGGUAACGGCUUACCAAGGCAACGAUGCGUAGCCGACCUGAGAGGGUGAUCGGCCACACCGGAACUGAGACACGGUCCAGACUCCUACGGGAGGCAGCAGUAGGGAAUCUUCCGCAAUGGGCGAAAGCUUGACGGAGCAACGCCGCGUGAGUGAUGAAGGUCUUCGGAUCGUAAAACUCUGUUAUUAGGGAAGAACAAAUGUGUAAGUAACUAUGCACGUCUUGACGGUACCUAAUCAGAAAGCCACGGCUAACUACGUG
rnacentral:rRNA from 1 species